CGACAUUCAAGGAGAGGGAGACGAAGAGCCACUAAGGAGAGCCCUGAAGUGAAAUUGUUCAGAAUGGUAGGAAGAAAACCAACAGAGUGUGGUGUGCAAUAACUGUGAAAAGUUGGCAAGAUGGCCUGACUGUGCCACAGAUUUACAUAAGGGCAAGUACAAAAGGGAAACUCUGAAAAAAGCCUACCGAAAGAAGGUCAUGUGUUGGAAGAGUCGGCUGAAGUAUUGAACCACAGACUGUAAGUUGGAUAAUAAAGGAAAUAUAAGAGACUGGUGAGGAAAAAGAAAGGUAAUAGAAGGGGAAAUGAGGCUCCAAGAUAACCACGCUGAUUAAUGUCACCAACGCAGUAAAUCAUGGAGAAAGGACCUGGAUGUCUGAAAACAAAUUAUUUUACAAGUGGAAAAGUUAACAAAGAAUGUACAAUGUUUUCUGAAAAUGUGUAAUUCUCUUCAUCGUUUUGAACUGUGACUUCUGGAAAUCUGCUCACUGGUGAUGGAGAUAGUCACGGAAGUAUCACCCAUCAGGACACAAAGACAGGCCCUGAGACUCUGGUGACUUGGUGGUAUAAAGUGAAGAGCACUGGACUGCAAAUAAGGAAUCCUGUACUCAGAACCCUGCAUCACAGAAUAGCCUUGCAAAUGAGCAAGCCCGUCUCCUUACCUUUACCUACUCUACAAAACAGAAAAUAAAGCGGAUGAAAAUCAUAGAGGUACUAGGUAAUGUGCCUGGCGCCAUGUGUGUUAUGCAGAAUGAACCACUCAACAUUCUACCAGCCUACCGUUUACCAUCUCAGAGAGUGAGCCCACAACCCACUAACAUAUAAUGAAUGUCCUUUCCUCCAACCUGGUACCACUCAGUUCAACAGUGGCCAUAUCAAUUCAAUUGUUUAAAUUCUGUGUACUUAAAGGAAAUGCACCAAUUGGUUUGAACUAAAGCAAAUUCCUGCCCUAUUAGAAGUGUGCAAAGACCAAAGAAUAUCAAAGGGCUACGACCUUUCCUGAAUCAAGUCUGGAUUUAAACCAAUGGCCUUAAAUAAAAUAAGAAAUACUAAAAUAGAGAACAUUAGCCUCAGUAGUUAAGAGCAGGGCUUUAAAUCAGUGGACCUUGUGUGCUUGGGGGUGGAAAGUAUCCAGAUGACAGGCUUCUUCUCCAAUAGGGCUUCUUUCCAAACAUUUCCAUGCAUGUCUACUCACUACUGAAAGCUCAGGGUCCUAAAAGAUCAUCACAUUUUAUUCCUCAAAUCCAGUCAAUCACAUAGAGGCAUUUUCUUGUUUGGCUUGAUAGAAUAGAUGAGAAUGAUCCCACAUGAUCCUAAGAGGCAGGAACAACUGGUGAGAACCCAUUUCUCAGCAUGCUUCAAUCAAGAAGUCCACGUCAUCAGCAGCGCUAAUUUAAUUUAAAAAAAGCGGUGGUGCUAUAAUUGGCUUGCCAUUCUAGCUAGUGGGUUUCCAGGGUAACCGUGUUCUUGCCACAGAUAAAAUCUACCUAGUAGCACAAAGACUAAGGGUUUGAGAAGAGUCAGCAUCAAAUGAGAGGUCAAGAAUUCAGCCUGAAGAGAGCUACAUCAAAAGCAUAUUUAGUUAAGGUGGACCGGAUCCAAAAUCUGAGCCCUGCCACGUACUAGCUGUACCAUUUCAGAAAAAAAUAUUUAACUUCUCUAGGCCUUGUUUCCUCAUCUGCAAGAUGAACACAAUAAUGGAACCUGUUCUUGUAGGAUUGUUACAGGAAUAAAACAGAGAACUUAAACAUUAAUUUG
rnacentral:lncRNA from 10 species